AUACCCAUCAUCACUAUUAGACUCGGGGUUGAUACCCAUCAUCGCUCUUAGACUUGGGGGUGAUACUCAUCAUUGUUGUUACACUCAGGGCUGAUAUCCGUCAUCACUGUUAGACUCGGGGUUGAUACCCAUCAUCGCUGUUAGACUUGGGGUUGAUACUCGUCAUUGCUGUUACACUCAGGGCCGAUACCUGUCAUCACUGUUAGACUCAGGGCCAAUAUUGUCAUCGCUGUUAGACUCGGGGCCAAUACUUGUCAUCACUGUUAGACUCAGGGCUGAUAUCUGUCAUUGCUGUUAAACUCGGGGCUGAUAUCCAUUAUCGCUGUUAGAUUUGGGGUCGAUACCCAUCAUCACUGUUAGACACAGGGCCGAUACCUGUCAUUGCUGUUAGACUCAGGGCCGAUAUCCAUCAUUGCUGUUAGACUUGGGGUUGACACCCAUCAUCACUGUUUGACUCGGGGCCGAUACCCAUCAUCACUGUUUGACUCGGGGCCGAUAUCCAUCAUCGCUGUUAGACUUGUGGCCAACAUCUGUCAUCGCUGUUAGAUUUCGGGUCUAUACCCGUCAUCGCUGUUAGACUCGGGGCCGAUACCCGUCACCGCUGUUGGACUCGGGGCGAUACCCGUCACCGCUGUUGGACUCGGGGUCAAUACCCGUCACCGCUGUUGGACUCGGGUCGAUACCCGUCACCGCUGUUGGACUCGGGUCGAUACCCGUCACCGCUGUUGGACUCGGGUCGAUACCCGUCACCGCUGUUGGACUCGGGUCGAUACCCGUCACCGCUGUUGGACUCGGGUCGAUACCCGUCACCGCUGUUGGACUCGGGUCGAUACCCGUCACCGCUGUUGGACUCGGGUCGAUACCCGUCACCGCUGUUGGACUCGGGUCGAUACCCGUCACCGCUGUUGGACUCGGGUCGAUACCCGUCACCGCUGUUGGACUCGGGUCGA
rnacentral:lncRNA from 1 species